UGAAGAAGAAGCAGAACUAAUUCUCUUCUGAUGGCAAAGAUUAUGUGAUCAUCUCUAGAACUGCCUCCUGAAUUGAACCACCCACACCAGUACUGUGGGCAUAUCAGAUGUCCCAAAAUGCCAAAAGGUCCGAAUGGGGGAUCGAGCAUAGGAAUGCUUUUGGAUAAGGCUCUCCACACUUUCUCUGUAAAAGGAAACAACCUAAUAUAUCAAUACCAUCCUAAACAGCAUCUUAUUUUGUUAAGGAAAAAGAGAGAUGACUUCUUAGUGAACCCUGAAUCUGCAAAGUUUGAAACCAGGGAACUAUGUGCACUGUUCCACAGUAAACAUGUUGUCUGAAGAACAAAGUGACUUCCAGUAACUCAAUACUCAGCUUCUGUUCUGUUUCUUUGUUUGAGAUCAGAGACUUGUUAUCUAAUACUGGGACCUAAGAACUUUUACCUUUUAAUGUGUCUAAGAA